CUUUUCUUGUUAGUUUUUGAAGUAUGGUCUGCCCGCUGACUUUAGGUUGAAGGGCCGCGGUAUUUUGACCGUGCAAAGGUAGCAUAAUCAUUAGUUCUUUAAUUGUGAUCUGGUAUGAAUGGCUUGACGAGGCAUGGUCUGUCUUGGGUUGGGAUUUGUUUAAUUGAAUUUGGUUUUUGAGUUAAAAUUCUUAAAUGUUUUUAUGGGACGAGAAGACCCUAUAGAGUUUGACAUUCGGUUACUUAGCUUGGUUUGGUUUGUUUGUUUUGAUGCUUUGUUUCGUUUGUUUUGUUGGGGUGAUGGGAGGAAUUUUCUUAACUCCUCUUUAUUUUUGGUAUAUUUAUUUGUAUAUAUUUUGAUCCAUUUAUUUUGAUUAUAAGAUUAAAUUACCUUAGGGAUAACAGCGUUAUCCUCCUUGAGAGUUCUUAUUGGCGGGAGGGUUUGCGACCUCGAUGUUGGAUUAAGAUUAAUUUUUGGUGUAGGAGCUGAAUUGAUUGGGUCUGUUCGACCUUUAAAAUCUU
rnacentral:rRNA from 1 species